rnacentral:ncRNA from 1 species
GAAUAAAAGACACGAUUGGGAAGGGGGUGAGAAUCCCCCGCAGCCCCCGCUGCUGUGAUGCUGACGAACCCGCUGAGACCACUGAUCUAACAGGAUUGGGAAGGUGACGGGAGAGAAUGACGCUAAGCCAGAAGACCUGCCAUAUCAGUAA